UACGUAGGGGGCAAGCGUUGUCCGGAUUUAUUGGGCGUAAAGCGCACGUAGGCGGCUUUUUAAGUCAGGGGUGAAAUCCUGGAGCUCAACUCCAGAACUGCCUUUGAUACUGGCGAUCUCGAGUCCGGGAGAGGUGAGUGGAACUGCGAGUGUAGAGGUGAAAUUCGUAGAUAUUCGCAAGAACACCAGUGGCGAAGGCGGCUCACUGGCCCGGUACUGACGCUGAGGUGCGAAAGCGUGGGGAGCAAACAGG
rnacentral:rRNA from 1 species